rnacentral:rRNA from 1 species
UACGGGGGAGCAAGCGUUGUUCGGAUUUACUGGGCGUAAAGGGCGCGUAGGCGGUCAGCACAAGUCAGUUGUGAAAUCUCCGGGCUUAACUCGGAAAGGUCAACUGAUACUGUGCGACUAGAGUGCAGAAGGGGCAACUGGAAUUCUCGGUGUAGCGGUGAAAUGCGUAGAUAUCGAGAGGAACACCUGCGGCGAAAGCGGCUCACUGGACCAUAACUGACGCUGAUGCACGAAAGCUAGGGGAGCAAACAGG